CCGAGCCGUGACUGCUGCCUGCAUUCUCUCCUUGCUUUGCUUCUCCUGUUGGAUCAGAUGGGCUGCAUUGCAUUGAAGUGUAUUAAUUGUCCUGUGAAGCUGAAUCCUGCAAAGUGCAGUUUCUUGCCACAGACGUGGAGCCAGAUGGACCCAUCCCUUGAGUUUGCAUCAGACCACAGAGAUUGCAUCGAAACCAACCCCAGCACCACUGACGUCUUAAGAUGCGGAUUCCAAUAGCUGCUAAGUGUCUGUGGCGUCGUCCUAAGUCUUCACAUCUGCUGCUGCGCAAUUAGGCGUCGUCAGUUUGGCUCACACCUCUCUGACAUCAUCAUCCGUUCACACUGAUCUGUUUAGAAACACAUCAUCAGGGAAAAUGUAUUGUGUAUGAAUUAGUUACAACCCUUGGAAGCGCAUGUCGGCAUCGGAACAGAUGAUUUAUUCUUAAUUCAUGUGUGCGUGUGAGUUUUGUGAAGUUGGUGGCACGAUUCUGUGAUGAUUCACACUCCAAGCUGUUAGUGACUGGAGUAAAUAAGGGUACGGAUCCAGCGUCACUGUCAAUAACUGCACGGGUGUCUGUCACAAUGUGAAAACACAGACGUGCACGUCCUUAUCGCCUGGGGACAGGAGGAGGAGGCACCGACAUCACACCAACACUGGAUCCUCAGUGAAAACACAAUACUGACGGCAGCUGUUGCGCUACGCGGACCGGCUUCACCCUCAGCUGACGUUUGGCCAAACCGCUCCGCAGCCUGUCACAGUCCAUCAGAGCACGCGGGAUACAGUGGGAGCCGCUCCACGCGCCGGCUGAGCCCGCUCGCACGGCGCUCCUUCGUCCAGAGCGCGCGCGAACGUGGCCGCGCCGCGUCCGCCUCGCUUCCGCUCGCGUCCACGCGUGUUCCACGGUCUGACGCGCAGUCUGGCCUCGGGCAUCGAGCACAUGAAGCCUCUCUGCGAAAACGCGUUCAUGCGCGCUCCCAACGCUCGCGCUGUCUGCCUGCCUUCGGUGGGACGCGCGCACGUGCUCGUGCACGUUCGCAACAUGUGCACAGGCUGUAAGCGGAGGUUGGUGUCUGUAGGUGUAGCAGGUCAUGGCGUAAAUGAAGAUUAAUACUGAUAGGAUUUUAAAUAUUCACUCCUGAAGUUAAACUCAUAAUAAAAAGUUGAGUCCU